rnacentral:rRNA from 1 species
AACGAACGCUGGCGGCAGGCCUAACACAUGCAAGUCGAGCGAGGACUUCGGUCCUAGCGGCGGACGGGUGAGUAACGCGUGGGAACGUGCCCUUUGCUUCGGAAUAGCCCUGGGAAACUGGGAGUAAUACCGGAUGAGCCCUUUGGGGGAAAGAUUUAUCGGCGAAGGAUCGGCCCGCGUUGGAUUAGGUAGUUGGUGGGGUAAUUGCCUACCAAGCCGACGAUCCAUAGCUGGUUUGAGAGGAUGAUCAGCCACACUGGGACUGAGACACGGCCCAGACUCCUACGGGAGGCAGCAGUGGGGAAUCUUAGACAAUGGGGGAAACCCUGAUCGAGCCAUGCCGCGUGAGCGAUGAAGGCCUUAGGGUUGUAAAGCUCUUUCAGCUGGGAAGAUAAUGACGGUACCAGCAGAAGAAGCCCCGGCUAACUCCGUG